GAGUGGCGGACGGGUGAGUAACACGUGGGUAACCUGCCCUAAAGUGGGGGAUAACAUUUGGAAACAGAUGCUAAUACCGCAUAAAACCUAACACCGCAUGGUGUAGGGUUGAAAGAUGGUUUCGGCUAUCACUUUAGGAUGGACCCGCGGUGCAUUAGUUAGUUGGUGAGGUAAAGGCUCACCAAGACCGUGAUGCAUAGCCGACCUGAGAGGGUAAUCGGCCACACUGGGACUGAGACACGGCCCACACUCCUACGGGAGGCAGCAGUAGGGAAUCUUCCACAAUGGACGAAAGUCUGAUGGAGCAACGCCGCGUGAGUGAAGAAGGUUUUCGGAUCGUAAAACUCUGUUGUUGGAAAAGAAUGUAUCUGAUAGUAACUGAUCAGGUAGUGACGGUAUCCAACCAGAAAGCCACGGCUAACUACGUGCCAGCAGCCGCGGUAAUACGUAGGUGGCAAGCGUUGUCCGGAUUUAUUGGGCGUAAAGCGAGCGCAGGCGGUUUCUUAAGUCUGAUGUGAAAGCCUUCGGCUCAACCGAAGAAGUGCAUCGGAAACUGGGAAACUUGAGUGCAGAAGAGGACAGUGGAACUCCAUGUGUAGCGGUGAAAUGCGUAGAUAUAUGGAAGAACACCAGUGGCGAAGGCGGCUGUCUGGUCUGUAACUGACGCUGAGGCUCGAAAGCAUGGGUAGCAAACAGGAUUAGAUACCCUGGUAGUCCAUGCCGUAAACGAUGAGUGCUAGGUGUUGGAGGGUUUCCGCCCUUCAGUGCCGCAGCUAACGCAUUAAGCACUCCGCCUGGGGAGUACGACCGCAAGGUUGAAACUCAAAGGAAUUGACGGGGGCCCGCACAAGCGGUGGAGCAUGUGGUUUAAUUCGAAGCAACGCGAAGAACCUUACCAGGUCUUGACAUCCUUUGACCACUCUAGAGAUAGAGCUUUCCCUUCGGGGACAAAGUGACAGGUGGUGCAUGGUUGUCGUCAGCUCGUGUCGUGAGAUGUUGGGUUAAGUCCCGCAACGAGCGCAACCCUUAUUACUAGUUGCCAGCAUUUAGUUGGGCACUCUAGUGAGACUGCCGGUGACAAACCGGAGGAAGGUGGGGACGACGUCAAAUCAUCAUGCCCCUUAUGACCUGGGCUACACACGUGCUACAAUGGAUGGUACAACGAGUUGCGAGACCGCGAGGUUUAGCUAAUCUCUUAAAACCAUUCUCAGUUCGGAUUGUAGGCUGCAACUCGCCUACAUGAAGCCGGAAUCGCUAGUAAUCGCGGAUCAGCAUGCCGCGGUGAAUACGUUCCCGGGCCUUGUACACACCGCCCGUCACACCAUGAGAGUUUGUAACACCCAAAGCCGGU
rnacentral:rRNA from 1 species